GGGUGAGUAACACGUAUGCAACCUACCUUCCACAGGAGAAUAACCCGUUGAAAAACGGACUAAUACUCCAUAACACAGGGAUCCCGCAUGGGAAUAUUUGUUAAAGAUUUUUUCGGUAGAAGAUGGGCAUGCGUUCCAUUAGCUAGUUGGUUGAGGUAACGGCUCACCAAGGCAACGAUGGAUAGGGGAACUGAGAGGUUUAUCCCCCACACUGGUACUGAGACACGGACCAGACUCCUACGGGAGGCAGCAGUGAGGAAUAUUGGUCAAUGGAGGCAACUCUGAACCAGCCACGUCGCGUGAAGGAUGACGGCCCUACGGGUUGUAAACUUCUUUUAUACAGGAAUAAAGUGAGUCACGUGUGACUUUUUGCAUGUACUGUAUGAAUAAGGAUCGGCUAACUCCGUGCCAGCAGCCGCGGUAAUACGGAGGAUCCAAGCGUUAUCUGGAUUUAUUGGGUUUAAAGGGUGCGCAGGCGGAAGAUUAAGUCGGCGGUGAAAUUUUGCAGCUCAACUGUAAAAGUGCCAUCGAUACUGGUUUUCUUGAGUGUGGAUGAAGUAGGCGGAAUUUGUGGUGUAGCGGUGAAAUGCAUAGAUAUCACGAGGAACUCCGAUUGCGCAGGCAGCUUACUAGGCCAUAACUGACGCUCAGGCACGAAGGCGUGGGGAUCGAACAGGAUUAGAUACCCUGGUAGUCCACGCAGUAAACUAUGAUUACUCGCUGUUUGCGAUACACAGUAAGCGGCUUAGCGAAAGCGUUAAGUAAUCCACCUGGGGAGUACGUUCGCAAGAAUGAAACUCAAAGGAA
rnacentral:rRNA from 1 species